rnacentral:rRNA from 1 species
GAUGAACGCUGGCGGCGUGCCUAAUACAUGCAAGUCGAGCGAACAGACGAGGAGCUUGCUCCUCUGAUGUUAGCGGCGGACGGGUGAGUAACACGUGGAUAACCUACCUAUAAGACUGGGAUAACUUCGGGAAACCGGAGCUAAUACCGGAUAACAUGUUGAACCGCAUGGUUCAACAGUGAAAGACGGUCUUGCUUUCACUUAUAGAUGGAUCCGCGCCGCAUUAGCUAGUUGGUAAGGUAACGGCUUACCAAGGCAACGAUGCGUAACCGACCUGGGAGGGGGGAAGGGCCACACUGAAAGUGAGACAGGGCCCAAACCCCCAGGGAGGGCAGGAGUGGGGAAUUUUCCGCAAUGGGCGAAGUCUGACGGAGCAACGCCGCGUGAGGGAAAAAGGCCUUCGGGUCGUAAAACCUUUUUUUUAGGGAAGAAAAAAUUAUGAAGGAACUGGCGCCACCGUGACGGUACCUAAAGAGAAAGCCACGGCUAACUACGUG